AUUGAACGCUGGCGGCAUGCCUUACACAUGCAAGUCGAACGGCAGCACGGGUGCUUGCACCUGGUGGCGAGUGGCGAACGGGUGAGUAAUACAUCGGAACGUACCUUAUCGUGGGGGAUAACGCAGCGAAAGCUGUGCUAAUACCGCAUACGCCCUGAGGGGGAAAGCGGGGGAUCGAAAGACCUCGCGCGAUUAGAGCGGCCGAUGCCUGAUUAGCUUGUUGGUGGGGUAAAAGCCCACCAAGGCGACGAUCAGUAGCUGGUCAGAGAGGACGCUCAGCCACACUGGGACUGAGACACGGCCCAGACUCCGACGGGAGGCAGCGGUGGGGAAUUUUGGACAAUGGGGGCAACCCUGGUCCAGCAUUGCCGCGUGAGUGAAGAAGGCCUUCGGGUUGUAAAGCUCUUUUGUCAGGGAAGAAACACCGGCUCUAACACAGUCCGGGAAUGACGGUACCUGAAGAAUAAGCACCGGCUAACUACGUGCCAGCCGCCGCGGUAA
rnacentral:rRNA from 1 species